rnacentral:rRNA from 1 species
GACGAACGCUGGCGGCGUGCUUAACACAUGCAAGUCGAGCGGAGCGGCGAACGGGUGAGUAACGCGUGAGUAACUGCCCCCCUCUCUGGGAUAACAGUUGGAAACGGCUGCUAAUACCGGAUAGUGGGGGAUGACUCGCGUCCUAUCAGCUUGUUGGUGGGGUAGUGGCCUACCAAGGCGACGACGGGUAGCCGGCCUGAGAGGGCGACCGGCCUCAUUGGGCUGCGAUACGUGACAAAAUGCUACGGGAGGCAGCAGUGGGGACUAGUGCACAAUGGGGCAAACCCUGAUGCAGCAACGCGCGUGCGGGAUGACGGGCUACGGGUUGUAAACCGAUGUGAGCCAUGACGCGGUAGUGGCAGAAGAAGCACCGGCGAACUCCGGGCCAGCAGCCGCGGUAAUUC